rnacentral:rRNA from 1 species
GAUGAACGCUGGCGGCGUGCCUAAUACAUGCAAGUCGAGCGAACGGACGAGAAGCUUGCUUCUCUGAUGUUAGCGGCGGACGGGUGAGUAACACGUGUAUAACCUACCUAUAAGACUGGGAUAACUUCGGGAAACCGGAGCUAAUACCGGAUAAUAUUUUGAACCGCAUGGUUCAAAAGUGAAAGACGGUCUUGCUGUCACUUAUAGAUGGAUCCGCGCUGCAUUAGCUAGUUGGUAAGGUAACGGCUUACCAAGGCAACGAUGCAUAGCCGACCUGAGAGGGUGAUAGGCCACACUGGAACUGGGACACGGUCCAGACUCCUACGGGGGGCAGCAGUAGGGAAUCUUCCGCAAUGGGCGAGAGCCUGACGGAGCAACGCCGCGUGAGUGAUGAAGGUCUUCGGAUCGUAAAACUCUGUUAUUAGGGAAGAACAGAUGUGUAAGUAACUGUGCACAUCUUGACGGUACCUAAUCAGAAAGCCCCGGCUAACUACGUG